rnacentral:rRNA from 1 species
GGACGAACGCUGGCGGCGUGCCUAACACAUGCAAGUCGAGCGGGGACAUUUUUUGAGCAAUCGGGAGAUGUUUUAGCGGCGGACGGGUGAGUAACGCGUGAGCAACCUGCCUAUCACAGGGGGAUAAGGCGGCGAAAGCCGCUCUAAUACCGCAUGAGACCACAGGGCCUAUGGGUCCGGGGGUUAAAGGAGCAAUCCGGUGAGAGAUGGGCUCGCGUCCGAUUAGGUAGUAGGUGAGGUAACGGCCCACCUAGCCAAUGAUCGGUAGCCGGCCUGAGAGGGUGAACGGCCACAUUGGAACUGAGACACGGUCCAAACUCCUACGGGAGGCAGCAGUGGGGAAUAUUGGGCAAUGGGGGAAACCCUGACCCAGCAACGCCGCGUGAGGGAAGAAGGUUUUCGGAUUGUAAACCUCUGUUCUUGGGGAAGAGUGGAAGACGGUACCCAAGGAGGAAGCCCCGGCUAACUACGUGCCAGCAGCCGCGGUAAUACGUAGGGGGCGAGCGUUGUCCGGAAUGAUUGGGCGUAAAGGGCGCGUAGGCGGCCUAUCAAGUCAGUAGUGGAAGUCCAAUUUUCAAGAUUGGAAGUGCUAUUGAAACUGAAUGGCUUGAGUGCAGGAGAGGUUAUCGGAAUUCCCGGUGUAGCGGUGAAAUGCGUAGAGAUCGGGAGGAACACCAGUGGCGAAGGCGGGUAACUGGACUGCAACUGACGCUGAUGCGCGAAAGUGUGGGGAGCAAACAGGAUUAGAUACCCUGGUAGUCCACGCCGUAAACGGUGGGCACUAGGUGUGGGGAGGAGUCAACCCUCUCCGUGCCGCAGCUAACGCAUUAAGUGCCCCGCCUGGGGAGUACGGCCGCAAGGCUAAAACUCAAAGGAAUUGACGGGGGCCCGCACAAGCGGCGGAGCAUGUUGCUUAAUUCGAGGCAACGCGAAGAACCUUACCUGGGUUUGACAUGGUGGUAGUAGUGAAGCGAAAGCGGAACGAUCCUUCGGGAAGCCAUCACAGGUGCUGCAUGGCUGUCGUCAGCUCGUGCCGUGAGGUGUUGGGUUAAGUCCCGCAACGAGCGCAACCCUCGCUGUUAGUUACAUGUGUCUAACGGGACUGCCGGUAUCAAACCGGAGGAAGGUGGGGAUGACGUCAAGUCAGCAUGGCCUUUAUAUCCAGGGCUACACACACGCUACAAUGGCUGGUACAAUGGGUUGCCAAGCCGCGAGGCGGAGCUAAUCUCAAAAAACCGGCCUCAGUUCGAAUUGCAGGCUGCAACUCGCCUGCAUGAAGUCGGAGUUGCUAGUAAACGCCGGUCAGCUAUACGGCGUUGAAUAUGCUCCCGGGCCU